rnacentral:tRNA from 2 species
CGGGCUGUGGCGCAGCUUGGUAGCGCGUCUGCUUUGGGAGCAGAAUGUCGCAGGUUCAAAUCCUGUCAGCCCGACC